GACGAACGCUGGCGGCGUGCCUAAUACAUGCAAGUCGAGCGGCCUGAUUAAUAGCUUGCUCUUAUGACGUUAGCGGCGGACGGGUGAGUUACACGUGGGCAUCCUCUCCUGUAGAUCGUGAUACCACCGAGAAAUCGUUGCUAAUACCUGCUAAUAUCUGAUAUCACAUGGUCUUAUGUUAAAAGAUGGCUCCGGCUAUCACUACUGGCUGGUCCCCCGGCGCAUUAGCUAGUUGGUAAGGUAAUGGCUUACCAAGGCGACGUUGCGUAGCCGACCUGAGAGGGUGAGAGGCCACACUGGGACUGAGAGACGGCCCAGAAUCCUACGGGAGGCAGCAGUAGGGAAUCCUCCGCAAUGGACGAAAGUGUGACGGAGAAACGCCGCGUGAGUGAUGAAGGGGUUCGGCUCGUAAAGCGCUGUUGUUAGGGAAGAAACAGUACUGAACGAAAUAGGGCGGUACCUUGACGGUACCGAACCAGAAAGCAACGGCUAACUACGUG
rnacentral:rRNA from 1 species